rnacentral:rRNA from 1 species
UACAGAGGUCUCAAGCGUUGUUCGGAUUCAUUGGGCGUAAAGAGCGUGUAGGCGGCCAAGCAGGUCCGUUGUGAAAACUGGAGGCUUAACCUCCAGACGUCGACGGAAACCGCGUGGCUAGAGUCCGGAAGAGGAGAGUGGAAUUCCUGGUGUAGCGGUGAAAUGCGCAGAUAUCAGGAAGAACACCAAUGGCGAAGGCAGCUCUCUGGGACGGUACUGACGCUGAGACGCGAAAGCGUGGGGAGCGAACAGG